rnacentral:rRNA from 1 species
UACGGAGGGUGCAAGCGUUGUCCGGAAUCACUGGGCGUAAAGGGCGCGUAGGCGGCUCAUGAAGGCUGUGGUGAAAGUCCGGGGCUCAACCUCGGAUCGGCCGUGGCGACUCGUGGGCUGGAGCACUGUAGAGGCGGGUGGAAUUCCGGGUGUAGCGGUGGAAUGCGUAGAGAUCCGGAAGAGCACCAGUGGCGAAGGCGGCCCGCUGGGCAGUGGCUGACGCUGAGGCGCGACAGCGUGGGGAGCAAACAGG